UCGCGGCUUAUCACCGGCAGUCCCCUUAGAGUGCCCAACUAAAUGAUGGCAACUAAGGGCGAGGGUUGCGCUCGUUGCGGGACUUAACCCAACAUCUCACGACACGAGCUGACGACAGCCAUGCAGCACCGUCUCACUAGUUCCCCGAAGGGCACCCCUCCAUCUCUGGAAGCUUCUAGUGGAUUUAACCCAGGUAAGGUUCUGCGCGUUGCGUCGAAUUGAACCACAUGCUCCACCGCUUGUGCAGGCCCCCGUCAAUUUCUUUGAGUUUUAACCUUGCGGCCGUACUCCCCAGGCGGAUGACUUAACGCGUUAGCUGCGCCACCGAAACGCCAAGCGCCCCGACAGCUAGUCAUCAUCGUUUACGGCGUGGACUAC
rnacentral:misc_RNA from 1 species